UACGUAGGGGGCUAGCGUUGUCCGGAAUCAUUGGGCGUAAAGAGCGUGUAGGCGGCCCGGUAAGUCCGCUGUGAAAGUCGGGGGCUCAACCCUCGAAUGCCGGUGGAUACUGUCGGGCUAGAGUGCGGAAGAGGCGAGUGGAAUUCCUGGUGUAGCGGUGAAAUGCGCAGAUAUCAGGAGGAACACCGAUUGCGAAGGCAGCUCGCUGGGACGUUACUGACGCUAAGGCGCGAAAGCGUGGGGAGCGAACAGG
rnacentral:rRNA from 1 species